rnacentral:lncRNA from 1 species
GCAAUCGUAGUUGUAGCAGAGCAAUAUGUUUGUGGCUGUCCUGCUGGACCGACUGUCAUUGCGUGACGUGCGUAACUACGGAACGGAGGUUUCGAUUGCUGACCUCGUUGUUGCGUUUGCUUUUUCUGGAAGCCGUGUCCUCCACUGGCAUCCAGUUUGGACGCUUGUGUUGACUGGUGCCACGUUUUGGUGGUUUUUUUUCGACCCGCGUGCUGUACAGGAAUCAAAUGAAGUGUUGCUGCCCUCAUAACGAGUUGUUCUCAGUAUCGUGGGACCUGUCGUGUGUUCGUGUCAAGGCUGACGAGGAUGAAGACGGCAAGGUUGUUCCGCAAGAAGCAGCCAGUUGACGGGCUCUGAGUAUGCGCGCCACAUUUGUUGAGGUACGGAUGCUGAGGUUCCAGUUUCGGGUCCUCUGCUCUGUUUCGACGGAUGUGAGGGUGCCUAUGCUUGCCCUGAUACUCGGCGAGACUUCUGUGCGCGCAGAGUAAAGUAGUUUUCAAUCUGAGUCCGUCACGCCUUUGUUCUGUGUUUCCUGGAGAGUUCGAUCAGAAGGGACCCCGUUCUUUUGUUUGGUUCAACAGUGAGAAAUAGAGUCCUGUAGAGCACCUCGAAGUCUAAGACAUCAGAACUUCAGUCUGGU